rnacentral:rRNA from 1 species
CAAGUCGAACGAUGAAGUUCCUUCGGGAAUGGAUUAGUGGCGAACGGGUGAGGAACACGUGAGAAACCUGCCUUUCAUUCUGGGAUAACACCGGGAAACCGGUGCUAAUACCGGAUACUCCGUCUUGGCGGCAUCGCCGAGCCGGGAAAAAAUUUUGAUGAAAGAUGGUCUCGCGGCCUAUCAGCUAGUUGGUGAGGUAAUGGCUCACCAAGGCGACGACGGGUAGCCGGCCUGAGAGGGCGACCGGCCACACUGGGACUGAGACACGGCCCAGACUCCUACGGGAGGCAGCAGUAGGGAAUAUUGGGCAAUGGGCGCAAGCCUGACCCAGCGACGCCGCGUGAGGGAUGAAGGUCUUCGGAUUGUAAACCUCUUUCAGUAGGGAAGAAGCGAAAGUGACGGUACCUAAAGAAGAAGCACCGGCUAACUAUGUGCCAGCAGCCGCGGUAAUACGUAGGGUGCAAGCGUUGUCCGGAAUUAUUGGGCGUAAAGAGCUCGUAGGUCGUUUGUCGCGUCGAUUGUGAAAAUCUGAGGCUCAACCUCAGACCUGCAGUCGAUACGGGCAAACUAGAGUGUGGUAGGGGAGACUGGAAUUCCUGGUGUAGCGGUGGAAUGCGCAGAUAUCAGGAGGAACACCAAUGGCGAAGGCAGGUCUCUGGGCCAUAACUGACACUGAGGAGCGAAAGUGCGGGGAGCGAACAGGAUUAGAUACCCUGGUAGUCCGCACCGUAAACGGUGGGCACUAGUUGUGGGAACCUUCCACGGUUUCCGCGACGCAGCAAACGCAUUAAGUGCCCCGCCUGGGGAGUACGAUCGCAAGAUUAAAACUCAAAGGAAUUGACGG